CUUCUUUCAGAAAGCCGUUAUUAACUGCCCGUUAGCUAUUGGUCCACUUAAUAGCUGACAACUGAGGAGCUCACUGAGACUUAUUCUGACUGUUGAAGCCUUCUCUGAAGAGCCAGGCUGGGAGUGGGCCACUGUCAGAGGACGCUCACCUGCUUUCCAGCCACAGCGCCGACUGCAAAGGCCCGUCGACUUGACUAUGCCAUCCCUGUACUGUUUGUUCCAUGAAGACGGCCACCACGGUCCUGUCUGUGGAAAGCUGAGAGUGACUGCCAUCACUUGGGAAAGCUCAGAGCUGAGUGUGGAGAUGGGCAGGAAAGGCCCUGCGCACAGCAGCAUGCUGGGAAGCACAGUGGGAAGCCACAGUAUGUUCAAGGAAACACCAGCCAUUCCACGGGACCCCUCAGAGCUGCCUUUCCAGGGAUCCUGCCUCACUAAUGGAUCCUGUAUGACUUUCCUGAUGGAAUGCCCUAGAAAGAGAGACAUUACAAAUACGCCUUAAUAAAAACGCUCAGGAGAAAAUAUUGAGAUGUGCAUUAGCCCAGGUCCUGAGAUAUGGAGGCCAAGUGGGGAAUAAAGAUUCAAGGAUUUAUUAGGACAAACACAUGUGAGGACAAAUGGGGAGGGAGCGGGAAGAGGCUAGACGAUCCUCCAGAGCACAGAGCAGGUCUGACCCUGAGUAAAGGAGGGAGGCAGGAGCGAAGCUGGUGUGAGAGCCCCCGGCUGCAGUAGGGUUCUAAGGAAAGUUUGCAGGCUUGCAGGGAGUCCUGGAGCCCAAGGAGGCCUGCAUCUUCCGAGGAGGCCGGCCUUCUCUUACCUGCCACACUCAGUCCCUGGCCUGGAGCAGCCUGUGGAUGUCAGAAGGUGCAGCUGGAGCAGGGGCCAGUGAGGUUCAGCCCAGGGUACUCUCAGGGCUACCAUGGGAGGUGAAGGCCACUAUGUAACAUUAUUUCAUCUUCUUGAAGCAUCUGCUGCUCCGUUGAAGAGUCCAGAUACUUUGUGAAAUAGUACAUCAUAUGCCUGCACACCUCUGCUUGCAAUGAAGAGGGAAAGUGUUAUUUCUUAGCAGUUAGAUGAAUAAACUGAGACGUUGUUGAGUGGCAUGAAUAAUCAAUACUAAUCUUACAGAAGACAUAACUAGAAUCCACUUCAGAGUUCUGGUUUCUAAAAUAAAAAUUUUAACCAAAAAUUUGUAUGUUU